GCCGGGGUGCCCGAGCGGACCAAGGGGGUAGGCUCGAGACCGUUCCAGCGUAAAGGGAGCUACCUACUGCCUCUAAGAGGUACACGGGUUCGAAUCCCGUCCCCGGCG
rnacentral:tRNA from 1 species